rnacentral:rRNA from 1 species
UACAGAGGGGCAAGCGUUGUUCGGAAUUACUGGGCGUAAAGGGCGCGUAGGCGGCCUGCUAAGUCGAACGUGAAUCCCGGGCUCAACCCGGGAACUGCGUCCGAUACUGGCAGGCUUGAAUCCGGGAGAGGGAUGUGGAAUUCCCAGUGUAGCGGUGAAAUGCGUAGAUAUUGGGAAGGAACACCAGUGGCGAAAGGCGACUUUCUGGGGUGUUUCUGACGCUGAGGUUCGAAAGCUCGGGGAGCAAACAGGG